rnacentral:rRNA from 1 species
GCGUGGGUACCAUGCCCAUGUCACACGGAUAACAUACCGAAAGGUAUACUGCNUCCANNCUUUUAGGACUUUAUUGGAGAGACGGCUGCGGGUAGUUACGCGUGGGUACCAUGCCAUGUCACACGGAUACAUCCGAAAGGUAUCUAUCGGGAUAACAUCUGAAAGUCGCAUGGCUUUUGUAUCAAAGCUCCGGCGGUCAGGAUGGACCCGCGUCUGAUUAGCUAGUUGGUAAGGUAAUGGCUUACCAAGGCAACGGAUCAGUAGCCGACCUGAGAGGGUGAUCGGCCACACUGGAACUGAGACACGGUCCAGACUCCUACGGGAGGCAGCAGUGGGGAAUAUUGCACAAUGGGCGAAAGCCCUGAUGCAGCAACGCCGCGGUGAGCGAUGAAGGCCUUCGGGUCGUAAGCUCUGUCCUCAAGGAAGAUAAUGACGGUCNUUGAGGAGGAAGCCCCGGCUACUCCGUGCCAGCAGCCGCGGUAAUCGAGGGGGCUAGCGUUAUCGGAAUACUGGCGUAAGGGGCGUAGGUGGUUUUUAAG